rnacentral:rRNA from 1 species
AACGAACGCUGGCGGCAUGCCUAACACAUGCAAGUCGAACGAGAGCUUCGGGUCUAGUUGCGCACGGGUGCGUCACGCGUGGGACGCUGCCUGUAGGCAUGGAAUACCUCUGAUACGUGGGAGCUAAUGCCGGGAAAUGUAUUCGGACAAAAGAUUUGUCGCAUUGAGGUGAGCACGGGUUGGAUUGGCUAGUUGGGGGGGUAAGGGCCUAUCACGGCGACGAUGGAUAGCUGGGCUGAGAGGCUCGACAGCCACACUGGGACUGAGACGCGGCCGAGAAUCCUACGGGAUGGAGCAGAGGGGAAUAUUGGACUAUCGGCUAAAUGCUGAUGCAGCUAUGCUGGGUGAGUGAUGAAGUCCUGAGAGAAGUAAAGCUCGUUUAUCCGAGAUGAUAAUGACAGUAUCGGGAGAAUAAGCACCGGCUAACUCCGUG